GUGGGGAAUUUUGGACAAUGGGGGCAACCCUGAUCCAGCAAUGCCGCGUGCAGGAAGAAGGCCUUCGGGUUGUAAACUGCUUUUGUACGGAACGAAAAGGCUCUGGUUAAUACCUGGGGCACAUGACGGUACCGUAAGAAUAAGCACCGGCUAACUACGUGCCAGCAGCCGCGGUAAUACGUAGGGUGCAAGCGUUAAUCGGAAUUACUGGGCGUAAAGCGUGCGCAGGCGGUGCUGUAAGACAGGCGUGAAAUCCCCGGGCUUAACCUGGGAAUGGCGCUUGUGACUGCAGUGCUGGAGUGUGGCAGAGGGGGAUGGAAUUCCGCGUGUAGCAGUGAAAUGCGUAGAUAUGCGGAGGAACACCGAUGGCGAAGGCAAUCCCCUGGGCCUGCACUGACGCUCAUGCACGAAAGCGUGGGGAGCAAACAGGAUUAGAUACCCGAGUAGUCC
rnacentral:rRNA from 1 species